ensembl:lncRNA
CUUCAGACUAAGAUUAAUCAACUAAGUGAUGAGAGAUCUUCUGACAGCACUUUUAUCCAUAUUCAAAACCAAUACACUCAAGGUAAACUCAUGUUUUAUCAGCAGUCCCAUAGGUCAUGUUUUCUGGGAGUUAAUAAUCUAAAAGAAUGAAAAUGAGAAUUGUGGGAUUAAUAUUUUGGCUGUUCAUUAACCUAAGAAAACACAGCAGGACACAGUUGUCUUCCACACAAAAUCAUACAAAAGUCUCUCUUUAUUAAAUAUACAUUAUUUACAGUUUAAGUCUUUCUCCUGUACAACAAUAACCAUAGAAAACAAAAGAAGCUAAGGCUAACUUUUUCCCCCCAUACAGUAUAUUAAGACAUGUUACAUGGUCUACAAAACUGACUUGGAUUGAGGCAACAUCCCUUAGGACUGUUAAAAAAAAAUUCAGACAGUGGAAAUAAAAUCUAGACCUUCACAAAGGACUUGGGCAAAGGUACAAGGAGAGGUGAAGCUUAUUUAUUUAUUCAUCAAUUAAUCUAUAUUUAUUUUUACUGUAACUGAGACUUUAUCUUCACUUGUAUUUUUAUUUUCUUCCUCACUAAUUGAAAGUGACUUUUCUUCUCUGGUUCCUAAAAGUCAGGGGAUUCUACAUGAUGGUGGAGAUAAAUUCCCUGACUGAACAUGUCAUUUACAUAGUGAGGAAUUAUUGUUCACACCUCAUCUGAUAAGGCAAUGCUUCUUUGGAGGCUUUCAACAACUGUACCUGCUAAUAAAAUGGCUACUAAUCGAGGGAUUAAGAACAAGAGAAUUCAGAUUCACAAUGAAAAUGUUCCUCAUUCUGAUACCUCGGCAAAUAAGGAAGCCAUUCCUGCACCCUUGUUAAGUCACUGCGAGUGAGGUUUACUGUUUCCCUGAAGGCAGAUUUGAGGCAGAAUGAGGUUAUAAAAGUUGAGACUCUGCUGUCAUUCAUAGGGAAGAGAUUAUUUUAAUAUUUCAUUUAAAACUUUCAAAGGAGUUUUUAUUGUAAGCACGGAUGGCAAAGCAAACUCACUUAGCCUUAUUAUCCCUUAAAGACGUACUGAAAAGGACCACAUUCAUGUAAGGUGCCAGCAAAUAUAAUGUGAUGCUUAUGUUGCAUACUGCAUGUCUUUCUUUUUCUUUCCACCUUUCCCUCUCUGAUUAUAUUGUUAGAGUCUGCUCUUAUUAGAGCACUGCAAUGAGAAGGACAAUGUCAUAAGCUCAAUUCUUAUAUAGACCAAUUUACUUUACUUUAUUCUGUAUACAUAGGCUGCACCCCAACCCUAUCUGGCUAUUGAACCAAUGAGAGCCUUGGAUCCCUAAAAGAACUGGGUGAUAGAAUAUGAAUAGAAGAAUGCAAAUCCAUUACCACAAUUAGAAAAACCAAUGCAGAGAACAUCCUCUUAUCCCUAUCCCAUAGUUAAUUAUAAUAGGGAAGACCAUCCUUAAAGAGGAAAACCAAUAUAUCAUACUUUUAUGCUACUUGAGAUAAAAGCAUCAUAAAGGGGAGAAACUAUCACACUGAACUGGUCCUGAAAAAAAAACAACAUUGGAUAUAGUAAGAUUAUUCUGAUUCAGGUCAUUAAGCCCAGGGGAUAAACUGUGAAGGUUUUGCAAACACAAAGCAAUAAAAUUUCAUUUACAGUUAACUUUGGUCAAGAUGUAUUUCAAUUUAGAUACUUUACAUGACAAGGAUCUUAAGUAACAGCAGCUAACUUGACUAAAUAAUGUAUUUAGCUGACAUAUAGCAGGAGGAUGGUUGGGAUUAGAUUCUAAGAAUGUCAUGCAAAGGUGAAUAAAUAACUCCCCAUGCAAAGCCCUUUACAAAAAUAUAACAUGGUAUUGUAAAGGCCUACAGAUACUCCCCAAUAGUGGGGCAUUUUGUAAUGGGGAUAGCUACCACUAGCAUGAUAGAAGGAUAGCUCUAUCCAUAUCUAUCUGAUCCUUCCAACACUAGUCCAAGUACUCAAGAAAUAUGCCUGAUAUGUCUAAAUAGUUGCCUUAAUCCUUACUUAGGUCUGCUCAGCCAUUUGUAGACUCUAGACAUUACAAAAGACAAACAACUAGAUUACAAAGUACAAUAUUUUCACUGAAAAGUGUGCUUUUAUUCCUCCUCAGAGUACCUUAAUGGGGGGAAAGGAGAGGAAGGAAGAAAAAAAUAAGAAAGAGAAAGAAAGAAAGAAAGGAUGAAAGAAAGAAAGAAAAAGGAAGGAAAUGAAAGAAAGAAAAAAUGAUAAAAAUAAAAAAGUUGGAUUUCCAAACUUUAUUUUCAUUCAGAACUUGCCCAAAGUCCUGGCAAAUUGGUCAUAGUUCAAGUCAUCAGAAGUUGGUUCAAAUCUUUUUACAUAUCUAAGGCUGGUCCUAUAUAUUUGAAAAAUAAAUUAAUGUUUAAAGUAGUACUAAAUUUUCUGGGCUACAUAGGAAAAACAAAGUACAGUAUUUCUUGGAGAAAACUCAAAUAGCUAGCCUAAAAGAAAAAAAGUAACCAACCAACAAAACAAAAGAAAAAAAAAACCUUGUAACUUUUUUCUUUCCAGUAUAUUCAACAUUUUGAAUUAUUGAAAUCAAAACAUAGGGCCAGAGAAAAAUGAAAAUGAAAAAGAGAAAAAAAAGUUUAUUUCUGAUAAUUGUGAAAGUGUUUUUUUUAAAUAAAGGAAUAAGGACUAAAAAUAGAACUUGGAAAUGAUUCAAUUACAUUAUGUGUCAUUUCGAAGGAAAAUAUUGCCAAACUUUGAAAAACCUGAACCAGAACUCAGUUGCUUUUCAGAUAUUCAAAUCUAUUAUUAGGUUUAUUCAUGAUCCCUUCUAUUAGUCAUUAUUUAAUCACCUUUUUAAAGGUUUUAUUUGGGGGGCAGGCAGGGAGAAGAUCUAAAAGUUAUCUGUGAAUGACAAGCAAUACAGAGGAAUAAAAUCCUAUACUUUUAGGCAAUGAAAAGAAUUGACAGAAAAAUACAUUGUUCAAAUGUCUCUUAGUUAGCCAGGGCUAUUAUUUGGAUUUAUCUUAAUAAGAAGGCAUGCAAAGAAAAGCAGGACUGACAGAAAUCAAAUUGUGAAGCUUUUUUUGAGGAAAGACAAAGCAUAAAUCCAUGUACCCUCAUGUCUUUCAUCCUGUGUGAUAGCCCUUUCUUGCAUGUUCUUUCAUUGAACAGUAUCCAGCUACCAAGCAAGGUAGGAUACCAGUUGACCACUGGAUGAUAAGAGUCUUUGAGUGUUACCUUGCUUUGUGAAACUUCACUUGGUAAAAACAAUUACUUCUGAGAGCAAUUAUUAUAUUAGUCCUCUGUUACUAAAUAAUAUUGUAUAGUGCUCAGUGGUUCUCUCAAAUUAAUCUUCUAUUGAGGAGUGGAAGGCAUGAUGUAAGAAUGAUACAUUAGGAAAUUAAUGAAACUCAUUUCCAUCUAUGUCUCUGGCCUUCAUUAUCAUUGUAGGAACAUCAGUAAAAGGCCAGGAGAAUAACAAAAAUAGAAAUUGUACUGCAUGAGCAGAAAAGAGAACUCCACACUAAAAAGAAAACAAAGAGCUUAUAAGUUCUGAAAAGUAUUAUGCAUUGAUGGAAAUUUAUGCAAGUGGGAAGAAAGGAGGUCAGAGAAGAGAAUACAGGACCCGAAACAGUGUUCUCAAGACUUCAAUUUUAUGUUCAGUUAUAUAAGUUCAGACUUAUAAGUAGGAGCAUUGUGGAUCAUCAUGUAAAACAAAGCAGAGAAAAACUCAAAAUAAUUCAGACCCUAAAAGCAUGCUAAGAAUUCAUGGAGCAUCUAGAUUUGGUCUGCAAUAAAAUUUAUCAAUGGCUCUCCGCAAGAACCUGUAUUAAUAGAUUAAAGCAUCCAUUGCCUACAAUAGAUAAAUAUAAGAUGAUGAGAAGUGGCUUAGCUGGCAUAAAAAACAACCAAUUAAUUACUAAUGUAUUAAUAAAAAAAGUAAUGCUCUAAAUUUUCAUUAUCAGUCAUAAAAUAGUAAUGAACUUCAGAUAAGAAGUUUAAUUAUUUUUAUUUUAUUUUUUACCCCUAAUGCUAAUGGGGAAUGUGGGGUAUGGGGUAGUAGAUCUGCUCCUGGAAAAGGGAAGGAGUUUUGGGGUUACCUUCUUUUUGUGUCUAAAACACAGAUAGAGAUAUAAUUCAUGAAGCAGUUUCCCUCAAAGUAAAUACCCCAAAUACAUGUGAUAAAGAAUCCAGAAAUCUAAAAUAUUUGUAAAAUAGGCUUUUGCAAAAGGUUCAUUUUCUUUUAUCUAGAUGGAACUCUCAUAGUAAAAAGUAGAAGUAUAACCUGAGUAAACUAUGUAUGUUACACUGAGUAUUAAAAAUAUCCCUAGGGCAAGCAAUUAUACUACAACUUGGUGUGGACUAAGAAAAUAGGAGAAAUAUUUGGUGGGAAUAAUAUCAAUGAUAGAGCUCCUUUUAAAUGUAAAAUUACACAGUUUUUUUUCAUUUGUCCUUUUUUUUGGUUUUGCUGUAAAGUGACAGAAUUUGAUGUUUUAAAAAGUGAUUACUAUGUAUUAGGGGUCUAAAUGGAAGGAUGAGGUGACACACAGAAUCUCAAUUUGCAUUUAGGAAAUCCAUUCAUUGAACAAGAGGGAAGAAUAUAGGAUUAUAUGGGAUUAUACAUGUGCAUUGUACAUGUAUUUCCAAAGAAUGUAUUUAAUUACCCAAGGGAUGCAACAUUCUUGAUCUUAAUAGCUACAUGAAACAUCAGGGGUACAUCCUUCCAAGGAGGAAAAAAAAUCCCCCCAAAAAACCCAAAGUGAAUCAAUGCUUAGCUCUUACCACUAAAGUCCCAUUCGAUUUUAAAGGGCAUGGCUUACUUAUUUGAGAUUCAGUUAAACACACUGAUAGACAAUUCUCCAGAAUUACUUCAAUGAGUUUUCAAAUACUCUAACAACAAACUUGAUUUUAGUGCUAUGUGCAUUAACCUCUCUUUAAAACAGGGUAUAUAUGAUUGUGUAUGGUUCUGCAGAUAUACUGACAUAGUUGUACAUGUACAACUAUAUAUGUGUUAGUGAUAUAGCCAUGUUAGUGUUAAAUUUGUUAGCUUCCAAAAUACGUACAGAAGGAAAUUAGAAAAUCAAAUUAUUUAGCUUUGACCUUUAUGGGACUUUCCCUCCCCCUCUCCCUUUCUCUCUUUCUCUCUCUCUCUCUCUCUCUCUCUCUCUUUUUCUCUCUCUUUCUCUCUCUCUUUACAUAAAGAAAUUUAAAGCUGACAAUCUGUGG